rnacentral:rRNA from 1 species
AUUCCCCCUUAGUUAAAAAAGCUCGUAGUGGAUUUCGGAAGGUCCUUAGUAAUCCGCCCCUUCGGGGAGCGGGUUGCUGGCCUCCUAUGUUCCUAACGGUCCUCGUCCGCGAGGGCGGGGAAUCAACCGCUAGGAUCGUUUACUUUGAGGAAAUUAGAGUGUUCAAAGCAGGCGUAACUCGCCUCCGAAUACGUUAGCAUGGGAUAAUGGAAUACGACUUCGGUCUUGUUUCGUUGGUUUCGCUUGGCUGAAGUAAUGAUUGAUAGGGACAGUUGGGGGCAUUAGUAUUUAGUUGUCAGAGGUGAAAUUCUAGGAUUUACUAAAGACUGACCAAUGCGAAAGCAUUUGCCAAGGAUGUUUUCAUUAAUCAAGAACGAAAGUAGGGGGAUCGAAGACGAUCAGAUACCGUCGUAGUCUCUACCGUAAACUAUGCCGACCAGGGAUCCGGAGAGUUUGCAUGGAUGACUCCCCGGGCACCUUGUGAGAAAUCAUAAGUGUUUGGGUUUUGGGGGGAGUAUGGUCGCAAGGCUGAAACUUAAAGGAAUUGACGGAAGGNNCCCC